CGUCUGGUCGGCGUCUGGAGUCGCGUCUCGCUCGUAAAGUCAUCAGUCGCUUACAGAAUUGGUCGGUUGAAACUAUUACGUGCUUUUUACGACGCUUGACUUUCGUGUUGUCUCAUUUUCGAAAGCUUCAUUGUAACGUGGAUGUACGAUGCUGUCACCGGUGACACAGUUCUUUUCCCUUGGCAAAACAAAAUUCACAUUUACGCGAUAAAUGCGACGAAUUAACGAGGAACUGACAGAAUAUUUUGUGUAAAUUGUGAGAAUCUCUUUUCUUGAAAGUGAAAUUUCUUUUUUUACUUGUUUAUCCUAAUACUUCCUUUGACACACACAAUCCAAAGAUUGAUCAAUAUCAUUUAUUAUAUAAUGUAGAACGGAACUAUGUGAUCUAUAUACAUCUACGCAAUAUAUUCUGGCACGAUUUUUCCUACUUGACGUACAAAAUUCUCAUUGCAUGAUAAAAGUGAUGGAAUAAUGUAGAAUUAUCAGAAUAUUUUAUAUUAAUAAAUCGAGAAUACGGUAGAGGAACGAUCUAUCGAGUCGAAAGAAGACAUCGUACGUGCUGCCACGAUGGGACUAUCGCGUGUACGGGUGUGUUCGUUCGUGUAACGUAGUGGUCUAUCAAUUUCGCGGGCCUGGACGUUUACGAGGAGAUCGUAAAGGCGACGUAAUAGGCGUACAUGGUCGUAUAGACUGUCGCCGGGUGGUCAGGAAAUUCGAUCGAGCGCGAAAGGUUUUACGUAAGUCUCGAGAUCCUUCGAUCGUCCUCCAUGUCGCAGUGUUCGUUGCAAAUGUUACGCAGUGAACAUAACCUCGAAAUACAUCUUUCGAUUUCCUGCUUUUCUUCUAAUGGCAAUUGAAAAUUCGUUACGAGAGUAUGGAACAUGAAGAAAAUUUCAGCAACAGUUUCUAAAACGAUCUAUGAAGAUUAUCAAAAGAUAUCAUAAGAUCAAAGUAUGAUUUCGCGAAACUUGAGAUUAUCAAAGCGCAGAAUGAUAGAGGUACACCGUUUUAAAGACGUCCGGCCACCUGCGGAGCUUCAUCGCGAGCGUGGGCUGCUGAGUGCAAGAAGAAGGGGUGUCAAGGGUGAAGCUCUCGAGUAUGAGUAUACACGUCAACGCAUAUGGUAAUGCUGAUAGAUAUUGUAUUAGAUUUUUUUUCACUUCAAAAUUCUGAUACUAAUGAUUAUUAAUCUGCCGUAAAUAAACAUUUGAAAAAAUGUUACGGAUAAAAUUGUUCACAGAUCGUCAACGACUUAAUUUGCGUAUAUAAGAUGAGUAUUAUUGAUAAUUAUAUUAUUAAUAAUCAUUUCUAUUAUAGUUUUAAUCAAUAUCAUCAAUAAUCAAUUUGAAUUAUUUACAAUAUUUUAGGUUUAAAGAAUUCUCAAGAUAACACAUAAUUUGUAAUAGAAAACGAAGUCUGUUAUGAUAAAUCGGAUCUACAUGGUAUUCUAGAUGGUAUAACUGUCGGAUAAUAUUCGAACGGUUGAAUAAUCAGUGGGAUAGAAUCAUUAUAAGCCAAGCAAUAGACAUAAAUCAAAGGAGAUCUACGAUUCCCUGCAAUAUCUUUGAAACUAUCGAUGAUACUGUUACACCUUACAUUAUAUUUAAUUAAAAUUUAUCUUUUUUUUUAAACGUAACACAUAUUCUAACAAUUUAAUAUAAAAAUACAUAGAAAUAUUUUUUAUCUACAAAAUAUUUAUAUUUAUUCCAUCAUUUCGUUUUUUAAGCAUUUUAUAAAACGCUAAAUGCUUUUUGAAGCAAAUUUUUUAAAGAAUAUUUCUAAUCAAAAAUCUUAGACUAGUUAUUAUAUUUAUUUUGAAAAAAAGGAAAAUUUAAUGUUUAUGAUUUGUAAUGUGUAAUACGUUGAAAUAAAUGACAACAGUUUUAUGAUAUUUAUGUGUUGUCCAUAUUUUUGGAUAAGAUACACAUCAAAUUCAUUUAUGGGAAUUGCUAGAUGACCAGAUUAUUAAACUUGGCAACGACCUCGUAGAAGGUUUAUAUCUUUUAACGAAAGAUUCACAUCUUCAUCGUGUUACAGCAAUAUCUAUUUAACGAGAAAUGGCAAUGACGAUAAAUCGAAGAGGCAUGUUUCUUUGGUCUGUUUCCAGCGAACUGAAGAAACUCCGUGUCAAAAUUCGCUAAUUAUAGUUCAACUAGCAACAAGGCGAACGCGUUACCAUCGACGUUGACGGCCGCGACGACUCGCUUGGACUUGAACCAAUCCUGACCUUCCCUGCUGCGUCGUGACGACCUAGAAAAUUGCGUGCGUCAUAUUCGUCGCAGCGUGUCAAACGAGCCGUAUAUGUUAUAUUAUUCCACUGAAUAUCGUGACCGGAAAUAUUAAAUGACGUGAUAACAUAUCAUGCAAAAUUUUGAUUUGGGAUUCAAAAAAAAAAUCUAACGUCUAUUUGAAAAGUCUGUGAUUCGAGAAUAUAUAAAUAGGAUUUGAGAAAUUUUUGAAACUAAAAUUUAAAAAAAUCUUUAAUUCAGAACUCAAAAUUUAAGAUCAUUUAUUAAUUUAAAACUUAGAAUUUGAAAUAUUUUGAAUAAGGAAAUAUACGAAUAUAAUUUCAUAUUCAAGGGAUAUAUUCAAGAAAUAUAUUUAUUAUUUUUUUAUAAUUUUGGAACUAGAGAAAUUUAUUGAUUAAUAUUGUAAAAAUUUGUAAUUAAAUUAUUUAGAAAUAGAAAAGUCUUUAAUUAAAGUCUUUAAUUAAAAUCUAAAAUGAUAAAAAAAUGUUAAAUGUAAUGUUACAUUACAUUUUAAUAGGAAUACAAAUUGUUCAUUAGAAUAGAAUUUCUAUUAAAAUUCUUUGGAAAACAAUUAAUAAUUAUAAUUGAAAUUUAUAUAAUAUAAUUUUAUGAUUUCCUGUAUUAUUUAGAGCCUUAUAUUUAUAAAUAUUUUACAUUCAAUUGUCAGAUUUAUAAUUAAUUUUAUUAUAAAAUAAUGAUAAUUCUUCUAAUUGUAUAAUUGGAAUUAUAUAAUUCAUAUACAAUAAAAAUGAUCAUUAAUUACCAA